rnacentral:tmRNA from 1 species
GGGUCCGUAAGGGUUUCGACGGGGAUUCAGAGCAAUCGCAAGCGGGCGGAUGCGCCUACCAUCCAUAAAAUGGGCAUCUUUAUAAAUUAAAGAACAAUAACUACGAACUUCCGGUAGCCGCUUAGGUUACCCGUCCGAGUCGGGUAAGUCCACGCACCGACCGGGCGUGACUUAGUGGAGAACGUGAACGCGCUGAGCUUGGACGCGCGUCAUGCACAUAAAGCUACCGAGUGCCUGCGCGUGACGGCUUGCAUGGCAUUAGGGAACCGCCGAAAGGCAAAAUAACCGUCUGCGCCCGGAGAAAACGGUUGGGAAGGAUUUUCGGACGCGGGUUCAACUCCCGCCGGAUCCACCA